rnacentral:rRNA from 1 species
UACGAAGGGGGGCUAGCGUUGCUCGGAAUUACUGGGCGUAAAGGGAGCGUAGGCGGGUUAUCAAGUUGGAGGUGAAAGCCCAGGGCUCAACCUUGGAAUUGCCUUCAAAACUGAUAGCCUAGAGUAUGAUAGAGGUAAGUGGAACUCCGAGUGUAGAGGUGAAAUUCGUAGAUAUUCGGAAGAACACCAGUGGCGAAGGCGACUUACUGGAUCAUGACUGACGCUGAGGCUCGAAAGCGUGGGGAGCAAACAGG